GUAAGCAUAUAUAAUCUAUAUCAAUAUACUCCUAAAAUUUUCCAUUAACUUACCUACUAAUAAUAUUCUUAAAUUGUUCAGUACCUUAAAUCAAUUGCUAUCUACCUAAUAAUAAUAUAUAUAUAUAUACACAUAUAACUCUACUCAGCAAUUUAAGCAGUUCUUCACGAUUGCUUAAAUAGAGCAACAAAAGUUUGGAAUUAAACACAACUUGGACCUCAUAUAUGCUUCAAAUGUAGAAAAAGAGUAAAACCCUAAAAUGAUUUUAUCAAAAUCCUACAGCAUCAAAAAUAAAAUAAAACCCUAGAUCCGAGAUAGUGAAAUGGGGAAAUAGAGGAAGAGAGAGAGAGAGAGAGAGAGAGAGAGAGAGAGAAACCUGAAUGUGGCUGGGAGGGGGGCC